AUCGCACAAAAAGCUGGGUAUAGUUCAAAUUCCUGACUGUAUAUUCUGAUUCCCCUGGGCAUUUAUACUCUGCCAUCCCACACAGUUCCCCCUCCUGUGUGAGGGUCCUAUUGCAAUUCAUUAGCGUGCUUUUUUUUUUUGCUUUUUUUUUUGGAGACGGAGUCUUGCUCUGUCCCUCAGGCUGGAGUGCAGUGGCGCCAUCUCAGCUGAAUGCAACCUCUGCCUCCUGGGUUCAAGAGAUUCUCCUGCCUCAGCCUCCCAAGUAGCUGGGAUUACAGGCACGUGCCACCACGCCUGGCUAAUUUUUUGUAUUUUUAGUAGAGACAGGGUUUCACCGUGUUAGCCAGGAUGACCUCGAUCUUCUGACCUCGUGAUCCUCCCACCUCAGCCUCCCAAAGUGCUGGGAUUACAGGCGUGAGCCACAGCGCCCGGCCUUCAGCAUGCUUUAUUUUUAAUGGUUUGCUGUAUUUUCAUCUGGUUUCUCCUUCUGAAUGUAUUUUCCAGAGAUAAGUACUGAGCAGCUUAAAGUAUUUGAAUGGGAGGAGGAGAAGCAAACUACAGCUACUUCAGAGGAUAACACUAAACACCUAGUCCACUCUGUAUACACUAGAGGUGCUGUUAAUUUUCUUGUGGAGAAGGAACUGUCUUUAGAAAAAUAUCUCAAAAAGCCACUGAAGUAGAAAGUUUCAGCAUGCUGAAGAUGGAACUUGCGAAGAUAGAAAGUUCUGGGUCCUUAGUGGCAUGACUGAGUCGCUGGACCACUGUUGGAACCACCCUAUGUCUUAGUUUUUAAAUCUCUUUACUGUCUAAGACAUUUUUAGUGGAAGUAUUUAUCUCUGGCAUCCAAUAAGACCUUUAAGGAUUUGCAGUUUU
rnacentral:lncRNA from 1 species